rnacentral:lncRNA from 1 species
ACCGAGAGGCCUGACGGGCAUGGAAAAACAGCCGUCGGCGAAAGGCGGCGGUGGUGCCAGGUGCGAUGAAGCAGAGCUCUAGCGGGGGGCUGAGACGUGAAGGCAGGCGAGCGAGCGAGCGAGGGAGAGCGAGAGCACUCCUGCGGUGGCUGACGGCAGAGAGGCCGCGCUGACAGCGGGGCGGGGGUAGGCGGGGGGGGGAGGAAGUGGGCUCCCAGUAGCUUCCUGUAGCCGGAGCACUGCUGGCUGAAGGGUGGAGACUGAACGGCGCAGCGCAGCGGCUCUCAGCUGGAUCAGCGGGGCACGGAGGCAGCCUGGCUUUGUGUGUGUGUGUGUGUGUGUGUGAGAGAGAGCGCCAGAUCUUGGAUACUCCGUCACACAGGGGCUCUCCGACACGACACGCUAGGCAUACGGACAGAGAAGAAAUCAAGCAGAAACUGCUGACUGAACUGCAGUCGGAUGCUAGACUGGGGGCUCGGCAGAUGAGGAAGUUGCCGAUCUGAAAAGAGAAGUCAGGGGUUUGACCGAGAACGCUUCCACCGCACGUCAGCGCCAGAUUCUCCCGUUCCAAGGUACGGUACGGAGCGUCAGGUAAAGUGCGCUCUGUCUGACCUGCGUUAUGCAGCAAACCCGCUAGGAGACCCUGGCAACUAGACAAACAUGUGCAUGGAAACUUUAAUCUCAUUACCAUCCCACUGACCCAGCACGCUGCAGUUCAAACAUAUACCAGAUAUUCUUUUCCUUCCCAUUACAAUCCAACGCCUUUGCCUUUUAACAUCCACUUUUCGCUCCGAGGCAGAAGGGCAGAAGUACAGAGACAAUAUGUUUAAUUUCAAGAUACAUUGUCAUUCAUAUCACGCCCCAUUUAACUCUUGGUGGCAUAAAACGAGAGGUUAGACUGACAACCAACAUUGUGUUUGUGCCUACUUUAGAAAAGCUACAGCGAGCACAAUGUGCAAUUCAGGAUUCGGUGUUACAGGCAACAGCGGUGCAAUUGCAUAAACAAGUCAGCCUCUACUCCGUUAUAGUCUAUGAUUUACCCCUAUGCGCGUGCAUACGUUGUUAGUGCGCACACACAAUCGUGGAGGGGUUUGUAUGUGAUGUCGAUGUCCUCUUGUGCACAGACAGCCCGUUCAGGCUACAGUAGAGCCUCAUGGCCAGCAACAACACCGCCAGCAUUGCCCAGGCCAGGAAACUGGUGGAGCAGCUCAAGAUGGAAGCCAACAUCGACAGAAUAAAGGUGUCAAAAGCAGCCGCAGACUUAAUGUCAUAUUGCGAAGCCCAUGCCAAAGAGGACCCGCUCCUGUCGCCUGUGCCAGCAUCCGAGAACCCGUUCAGGGAGAAGAAGUUCUUCUGUGUUAUACUGUAAAGGGUCCGGGCCUCUAAGCCGGUCCAUCGGACCGGCGAGUGGACGCUCAAUAUGUAGAAUUUUCUAGCUGAGGCAUGAUAAAUGCCUUCAUCGAAUGCUCGCGAUGAGUGAAACUUAAACCAACCAGUAUAUUUCAAACAAGCCAGGUUGAGACGGGAUGUUGCAUGUUUUAACGGAAACUUGUGGGUUCCCCUCUGGGGACGGCGAUGACCGUGAAACAUGUUGACAGGAAACCUAGAGAGUUCACAAGGUGUGUAGUGUAGCAGCCCAUGCUGACUGGUGUAGAGUUGUACAAAAAAGAAAAAAAAAAAAACAAUUUUGUGGUUCUUUUGAAAAAUACUAAUGUUCAGUUCGAUGGUUAAAUGGUAAGAGUUACCGCGCUGAUUGCGUUCUUCUUCGGAUUGCCUUUUUAUUGGAAUGUUUCUUUGAGUUCAUUUUUAAGUUAAGGUGGUUUGGCUAUAUUAUUUAGAUAGCGUUCAGUUACUUGUGUUUACUUAUUUGGCUGUGUUAACUUUUUUUAUUACGUAUCAUUAUAUUAGCAAAAGCAUUUUUUAAUGAAAAGUUUCAAAGUUCAAAGCCAAAUUCUUACAAAUAUACAUCUUUAAAUAUGCUGAAAAACAUAAAGCCAGCGAUUGUGGUUUUUUUUUCUUUUUUCUUCUGAUACUCACUAAUUCUCUUUCUAACAUUUGUAAAAAUUUGCUAGCAAGUAAAGUGUUUUGUGCUUGAAUGUUUGUGGUGACACCAGUAAUAACUGCAUGGAAAAUGGCAAUCGAUGUUUUUUCUUUAAGUGUAAAGACUGUUUUCAGCCAGGCAGCAUCUGUGUGGUGUUUCCAACUGUAUUAAAUUAUAAUAAUUGAAAAUUACCAGCAAGGUCUGCUUUUUCCCAUCAAGAUAUUUGUUAAAUGGUUUUUGUACUUCAGACUGUAAGUGUUACACAUUCUACUGGCAUUAACCCACUUCUCAGCAACUAUAUAUAGGCCAAGCAAAGUGACGCACAGAAGCUAAAAAUAAGACCAAAAUAUUGGCUUGCUCAUCACAAAUAUGACCAUUCCAGGAAGAUAGGGCUUCCUCAAUGAGACAAACUCACAGCCAAAAUAAGUUAAAAAUAUUUGUUAAAUUAUUGAAUUCAUUAGCCGUGCUCAGCGUGAUUUAAAGCCCUGUUUGAGACAGGUGUCCUUUCUGCACUCUGCGAGAGCUGCUCGCUUACCGAUGGAGAUCCGUGUCACCACGCAAAUUGCAGAACGGCACCAUAACACUCGCACGAAUGAACGGUGCUUAAUGUUCUUCAAUGUCCACUUAUUUGCCAAUGUGCUUGUGUCGUAAUAGCGCUGGGUGUCCUAUUGUCCAGGUGUUCUGUGCCGUCACCGUGUCCUACAAUAAAAGAUUGUGGUUUUCCA